CUGAUUAGUUCCGGAAACUGGCGGAAAUGCUGGCUGUCCGUGUAGCAUCGCCUGGCACUGCCUCUGAGGGGGAGGAAAAAAGGUUUCGUUAUGGCUGGAUGGGGUGGAAGCCUAGGUGGGCACUGUCCCUGCAGGAAGCAGGGACGGAGACUCAUUUCCUCUGAGCGGGGACGAACAUCCCUGCUUCUCACUCGCUUUCUCUGAUACUGUCCGUGUGUGUGUGUGUGUGUGUGUGUGUGUGUGUGUGUGUGUGUGUGUGUGUGUGUGAGAGAGAGAGAGAGAGAGAGAGAGAGAGAGAGAGAGAGAGAGAGAGAGAGAGAGAGAGAGAGAUGGUCUUCCUCAAGCAUAUAUCCUGAAUUCAGGAUACAAAAAGCCUCAAAGCUGUCUUGUACACCCCUAGUCUUACUAGGUGGUCAUUACCCACCUGACCAGUAGAUGACGCCAAAGGCUUAAUUUUUACUUAGGAGGAAGCUACAAGCAAUUAGGUGUGUUUUGGCAUGUUUCACAAAUUUUAAGAUUACGUCUAUACUAGCAAAAGAGCUAUCUUGCAUAUCAAACCCACCAUGUGGAAAAACCUGACUAAAUAACAGGAGAACAGCCUUUCUGGAUUUAUUUUUUUCAGGAAUCCUGAUAUGCACUUCAUAGGAUGAAUUAGAAGACCAUGGGAGGUGGUCAAUGCCCUCACCAACUGUGUUCUUCCUGGAGUAAGGACUGGCUUUUGGAGUGGAACGCUGGAACAAUGAGCAAGAGGCUUCUCUGGCGAAGGUGAAGUCCCGAACCAGGCAGAGAGGCCUGGGGGACACACCCCUGCUGUGUCCGAGGUGCCACAUGCUGUCGCUUGCUCUUUUGCCAGAACUGGACUUUCCCCCACCGACACCUGCUAAGCCACUUCUGUUCCCCAGAACUUCGCCUUUUUACCGCUGCUUCACCAAAGCCAGUUGCUGCUUCUUGUUUCCACUGACCUUUGCCAGCAAAAUGAACACAGCUUGGGCCCCGUUUCCUCCCACUGCACACUUGUGAACGGAAGUCUCAGGUGCAUGAAUCUGCCUGGUGAGCUCAGCUGCUGUGUUUUGCCCUAACUUCAAAGACGGCCAGGGGAAAUGAGUUUUGUGAUUUCCACUCUAGGGAGGCAGGGGAAAUUUCAUGGUACCUCAAAGGUGUCCAGAUCGACGGACACCCACAAAACAUAACCCGUGUCCACACACUGGACACUGUCAAAGUGGCCACUGUGACUAAAGGCUUCAUAUGUUCUCAGAGACCAGCUGACUCACAGACUCACAGGAGUUAAUUAAAUGGAUGCUUUUGUUUUAAGUCACUAUGUUUGGGAGUGGUUUGCUGACAGCAAUAGAUAAUUGAAAUGUAUAUUAUACAUAGUGUGAGUGUGUGUGUGUGUGGGGCCCCUUUUCACUCAAUAUAUAUAUUUUUGGUACUGGGGAUUGAACUCAGGACUUUGUGCUUGCGAGGCAGGUGGCAGAACCACUGAGCUAAAUCCCUAGCACUCAAUAUUUUUUCUGUGAGACUUCCUCUGUUAUAGUACUAUCAGCGGUUCAUUAAUUUUCAUUGCUUAUAUGUAUUCUGUUGUAUGGAUACAUCCCAUUUCAUUUAUCCACUUACUGUUAGACCAAGGACAUUUCUCCUGUGUGAUCG
ensembl:lncRNA